GCUUGUCUCAAAGAUUAAGCCAUGCAUGUCUAAGUAUAAACAAAUUUAUACCGUGAAACUGCGAAUGGCUCAUUAUAUCAGUUAUAGUUUAUUUGAUGGUCCUUGCUACUUGGAUAACCGUAGUAAUUCUAGAGCUAAUACAUGCAUCAAACCCCAACUUCUGGAAGGGGUGUAUUUAUUAGAUGGAAACCAAUGCGGGGCAACCCGGAACAUGGUGAUUCAUAAUAACUUUCGGAUCGAUUUAUCGAUGCAUCAUUCAAGUUUCUGCCCUAUCAGCUUUGGAUGGUAGGGUAUUGGCCUACCAUGGCUUUCACGGGUAACGGAGAAUUAGGGUUCGAUUCCGGAGAGGGAGCCUGAGAAAUGGCUACCACAUCCAAGGAAGGCAGCAGG
rnacentral:rRNA from 1 species